GAUGAACGCUGGCGGCGUGCCUAAUACAUGCAAGUCGAGCGAACGGACGAGAAGCUUGCUUCUCUGAUGUUAGCGGCGGACGGGUGAGUAACACGUGGAUAACCUACCUAUAAGACUGGGAUAACUUCGGGAAACCGUAGCUAAUACCGGAUAAUAUUUUGAACCGCAUGGUUCAAAAGUGAAAGACGGUCUUGCUGUCACUUAUAGAUGGAUCCGCGCUGCAUUAGCUAGUUGGUAAGGUAACGGCUUACCAAGGCAACGAUGCAUAGCCGACCUGAGAGGGUGAUCGGCCACACUGGAACUGAGACACGGUCCAGACUCCUACGGGAGGCAGCAGUGGGGAAUCUUCCGCAAUGGGCGAAAGCCUGACGGAGCAACGCCGCGUGAGUGAUGAAGGUCUUCGGAUCGUAAAACUCUGUUAUUAGGGAAGAACAUAUGUGUAAGUAACUGUGCACAUCUUGACGGUACCUAAUCAGAAAGACACGGCUAACUACGUG
rnacentral:rRNA from 1 species